GACGUAGGGCGCGAGCGUUGUCCGGAUUUACUGGGCGUAAAGGGCUCGUAGGCGGCCAACUAAGUCAGACGUGAAAUCCCCUCGGCUUAACCGGGGAACUGCGUCUGAUACUGGAUGGCUUGAGUUUGGGAGAGGGAUGCGGAAUUCCAGGUGUAGCGGUGAAAUGCGUAGAGAUGUGGAGGAACACCGAUGGCGAAGGCAGCCCCCCCUGGGCUAACACUGACGCUCAUGCACGAAAGCGUGGGGAGCAAACAGG
rnacentral:rRNA from 1 species